rnacentral:rRNA from 1 species
CAGCAGCCGCGGUAAUACGAGGGGGGCAAGCGUUGUUCGGAAUUAUUGGGCGUAAAGGGUGCGUAGGCGGUUUCGUAAGUCUGAUGUGAAAUCUAUGGGCUCAACCCAUAGUCUGCAUCGGAAACUGCGAGGCUUGAGAGUGGGAGAGGUGAGUGGAAUUUCCGGUGUAGCGGUGAAAUGCGUAGAUAUCGGAAGGAACACCUGUGGCGAAAGCGGCUCACUGGACCAUUUCUGACGCUGAUGCACGAAAGCUAGGGGAGCAAACAGGAUUAGAUACCCGCGUAGUCCCUGUCUCUUAUAC